rnacentral:ncRNA from 1 species
AAUGAUAGUUUAGUUGCUUUUCAUUAUAGUUCUUAUGGGACUUUUUUUUACAAUAAAAUAGGCUCUAUAAUUCUUGCAGUGAUUUGAACCACUAUAGAAAUUAUAGAGGA